rnacentral:lncRNA from 1 species
CUACCAGUGUUCCAAGUUUCAAAGUGUUUCGUUAAUGAAAAAUGUGGGCCCCCGUUUUAAAAAAGAUCCGAAAUAUUCCCUACCCGCAAAAUUUUGUGUUAUCGGUCACUUAUUCGCCAUGGAAACCGAGUAAACAACCUUUGAAAUCCACGGGCUCAAGAGAAAAAAGACAAAAAAGUGAGAUUUACUAAAAUCGUCAAACAGUUAAUUCUACUGACAACCUAUUACGAUUUAUUCUGCUCUCCGUCCGCAACUUGAAACUACUUAUUACUGAGGACGGUAAUUUCUCCAGACAAGGCGUUGACCAGCUAGUGGAACAUUGGUGAUAACUCGAGAAUAAUGAACGAGAAUACAUUAGUUACCGAUUAGUUAAAAAUGCUGAUGAAAAAAAAAGGAUUAAAAUAAAUGGAGAAAAAUA